CAGGGAAUAUUUUAUAAUUAAAAUAUUAAUUUUGGGAAUUAAUGAUAUAGAUAAUAUUCUAUUUCUCUGA
rnacentral:tRNA from 1 species